CUUAAGCAUAUCAAUAAGCGGAGGAAAAGAAACCAACAGGGAUUCCCCUAGUAACGGCGAGUGAAGCGGGAACAGCUCAAAUUUGAAAUCUGGCCCUCGGGUCCGAGUUGUAAUUUGUAGAGGAUGCUUUUGGUGCGGUGCCUUCCGAGUUCCCUGGAACGGGACGCCUUAGAGGGUGAGAGCCCCGUACGGUUGGACGCCUAGCCUCUGUAAAGCUCCUUCGACGAGUCGAGUAGUUUGGGAAUGCUGCUCUAAAUGGGAGGUAUAUUUCUUCUAAAGCUAAAUACUGGCCAGAGACCGAUAGCGCACAAGUAGAGUGAUCGAAAGAUGAAAAGCACUUUGAAAAGAGGGUUAAAUAGCACGUGAAAUUGUUGAAAGGGAAGCGUUUAUCACCAGACUUUUUCUAGGGGGAUCAUCCGGCGUUCUCGCCGGUGCACUUCCCCUAGUUGAGGCCAGCAUCGGUUUUCGGAGGGGGAUAAAAGCUUCGGGAAUGUGACUCCCUCGGGAGUGUUAUAGCCCGUUGCAUAAUACCCUUCUGGGGACCGAGGUUCGCGCAUCUGCAAGGAUGCUGGCAUAAUGGUGAUCAACGACCCGUCUUGAAACACGGACCAAGGAGUCGAACAUUUAUGCGAGUGUUUGGGUGUCAAACCCUCACGCGUAAUGAAAGUGAACGGAGGUGAGAGCCCUUACGGGUGCAUCAUCGACCGAUCCUGAUGUCUUCGGAUGGAUUUGAGUAAGAGCAUAACUGUUCGGACCCGAAAGAUGGUGAACUAUGCGUGGAUAGGGUGAAGCCAGGAGAAAUCCUGGUGGAGGCUCGCAGCGGUUCUGACGUGCAAAUCGAUCGUCAAAUCUGCGCAUGGGGGCGAAAGACUAAUCGAACCAUCUAGUAGCUGGUUACCGCCGAAGUUCCCCC
rnacentral:rRNA from 1 species